AGAGUUUGAUCCUGGCUCAGGAUGAACGCUAGCUACAGGCUUAACACAUGCAAGUCGAGGGGCAUCAGUUUGGUUUGCUUGCAAACCAAAGCUGGCGACCGGCGCACGGGUGAGUAACACGUAUCCAACCUGCCUCAUACUCGGGGAUAGCCUUUCGAAAGAAAGAUUAAUAUCCGAUAGCAUAUAUUUCCCGCAUGGGUUUUAUAUUAAAGAAUUCGGUAUGAGAUGGGGAUGCGUUCCAUUAGUUUGUUGGCGGGGUAACGGCCACCAAGACUACGAUGGAUAGGGGUUCUGAGAGGAAGGUCCCCCANAUUGGAACUGAGACACGGUCCAAACUCCGUACGGGAGCA
rnacentral:rRNA from 1 species